rnacentral:lncRNA from 1 species
GCACCCCCUUCUCUUUCUCCUUCCCCUUUUAUCCCUCUCCCUCAAUUUUCUGCUGUGGGCAGAGAAUAUGGUGUCUGGAAGUUUCUGGUUUUCAGAUGCAGACCUGAGUAACUGGGCCCCAGAUACCUAGCACUGUGGUGUGCUGUUGUUCUUACCUUUCCUGACUGUCCAUCUGGUUGCCCCUUUUUGCUUAUCAUAUUCUCCAGCCCUUCUGAUCCGAUCCAUUCUCUUGCAUUCCCAGUGACAAGCCUGGCUUCCUGGCCUCUGACUCUCUGUUCCAGCAAGACAUCCUUGAAACACUGGCCAUCAUGUGGGUGGACAGCAGCCCCCCCCCGCCUCUCCCCGGUCUGUGAAGCCAGGACAACUGCGGAGAAAUCCCUGGAGGGGGCUCUCGUGGGAGCACCCAUCUGGCUGUGCCUCCUGACACGGGCUGUUGUAGGGCCUCACGGGGAUGCUCACCUCCCUCCCCAGCCCCCGUGUGGAACUCACGCAUACUCACGUGCUACACGCGUGUAACCAGGAGUCGUAUGCAGGUUAUAGUCACUUAAUUAAAAAAAGAACCUUCGCAGGACUCAAGGGCCUUGUGAUUGUUCUACAUUUCAUCUUUGCUUCUGUGUUGAUGGGUUGACUAUUCAAGCUGCAAUAGGGUGCUGGUCGUGUCUUUUAGCAUAAUUAUUAGCUUUAGCAGCUAUUUUCUUUUUCUUCAUACAUAUUUGUCUUUUGUGUUAAUUCUGACCUUAAGUGUCUCCAUUUCAAAUUCUGUACGUUUUCCUCUAUAGUUAAGUUGUUUGUGUUUUUCCACUAGCACAGAGUCCAGAGAAUACAGUAAGGUAUACUAACAGCUCAGCUCUCAGAAACUGACUUUUUAAAUGUUUAUUUAUUUUUGAGAGAGAGAGAGAGAGAGAGAGAGAGAGAGAGAGAAAGAGAGAGAGAGAGAAUCCCAAGCAAGCUCCUAGCUGUCAGCGCAGAGCUGGAUGCAGGGCUUGACCUCACAAACCGUGGGAUCACGACUUGAGCCAAAAUCAAGUUGGGACACUUAACCAACUGAGCCACCGAGGUACCCCAGAAAGUGAUUUUUAUACUUAGCUUCUUUUGGGUGGGAGACAAAGAGACUCAGUCAAGUUACCUCAAGAAAACUUGUGUUUGGAGCAAAGAGGCACAUAGAACAAAUCUCACCAUUCUCUCUCUCUCUCUCUCUCUCUCUCUGCCUGCAGUAUAUCUCUGUCUCUCUCCUUCCAUUUGCUUCCUUCUCUUUCUCUUAACCAGCUUUCUUAGAGCUCUACAUGUUAUCACUUCAGAUGGCUUAUGAUAUAGUGUGCCCUCAUGGGCCACAACUCUACUUCAUGAACUUUCUGGUUCAAAUACCA